rnacentral:rRNA from 1 species
GGGGUCGGAACUUCGGUUCCGGCUUACGUGGCGCACGGGUGAGUAACACGUGGGAAUCUGCCCAUCUAUGGGGAAUAACUGCGGGAAACUGCAGCUAAUACCGCAUACGCCCUUCGGGGGAAAGGCUUCGGCCGUAGAUGGAUGAGCCCGCGUCCGAUUAGCUAGUUGGUGGGGUAAAAGCCUACCAAGGCGACGAUCGGUAGCUGGUCUGAGAGGAUGAUCAGCCACACUGGGACUGAGACACGGCCCAGACUCCUACGGGAGGCAGCAGUGGGGAAUAUUGGACAAUGGGCGAAAGCCUGAUCCAGCAAUGCCGCGUGAGUGAUGAAGGUCUUCGGAUUGUAAAGCUCUUUCGACGGGGAAGAUAAUGACGGUACCCGUAGAAGAAGCCCCGGCUAACUUCGUGCCAGCAGCCGCGGUAAUACGAAGGGGGCUAGCGUUGUUCGGAUUUACUGGGCGUAAAGCGUGCGUAGGCGGCUUGUCAAGUCAGAAGUGAAAGCCCGGGGCUCAACUCCGGAACUGCUUUUGAGACUGGCAGGCUUGAGUUCGGGAGAGGGUAGUGGAAUUCCCAGUGUAGAGGUGAAAUUCGUAGAUAUUGGGAAGAACACCGGUG